GUGGGGGAUAUUGCACAAUGGGGGAAACCCUGAUGCAGCGACGCCGCGUGAAGGAAGACGUACUUCGGUAUGUAAACUUCUAUCAGCAGGGAAGAAGAUGACGGUACCUGACUAAGAAGCCCCGGCUAACUACGUGCCAGCAGCCGCGGUAAUACGUAGGGGGCAAGCGUUAUCCGGAUUUACUGGGUGUAAAGGGAGCGUAGACGGUGAAGCAAGUCUGAUGUGAAAACCCGGGGCUCAACUCCGGGAUUGCAUUGGAAACUGUUUUACUUGAGUGCUGGAGGGGCAAGCGGAAUUCCGGGUGUAGCGGUGAAAUGCGUAGAUAUCAGGAAGAACACCGGUGGCGAAGGCGGCUUGCUGGACAGUAACUGACGUUGAGGCUCGAAAGCGUGGGGAGCAAACAGGAUUAGAAACCCGGGUAGUCC
rnacentral:rRNA from 1 species